rnacentral:misc_RNA from 1 species
UUUGUUUGUUGGAGGGGAGAGAAGGGAUUGAUAUCCAUUUAUGAGUGAGGGGAGACAAUGAUUCCUUCAUUUGGGACACCUAGAUGAUGAGCUAUAAGGCUAGGAGUGAGUGAGAUUCUCUGGCCAUUGAUAAAACUGACCAGAGUGGGGGGGAUGUUGGUGAAUAAAUGGGUAGAGUUUUGCAUAAAAGUCUUGUCAAUGUGUUGGUGUGUAGGUGCUAAGGUGGUAACUAGGUUGCCCCAAUCCUGGGUUGCAAACGGAGCUACAAACCCAUGCUGGGUGUAGUGAUUUACAGACAGAAUAGGUCGCCGAGGGUGGACAAACCUUCUGGCAAAAGAGACAUAGCCUUCAUCAUCCAUUCUAACAAUAGGGUUAGGGUACUCAAAAGGAGGAGGGUUUCGAGAGGACUAGGUGGCUGGUCAUUUACUAUUGGACUCACCCAUAUGCCGAGGAAUUUUACAGGCUUUUUGUUUGAUAGUCAUGCUUUUGGAGGAGGUUAGGGAAAGGCUGAGGAACUGGACAUUGUAAACAAGAGGGCCAACAUAGCAGAACCACAGCCCAUUAAACACAAAAAAACUGAGAACAACUGCCACAUAAGCCUAACUGAUCAUAAUUUAUCAUAAUAGGCAAUUAAUUCACCAAUUGCCAAACUGCAACACAAACACAACACAAACCAUAAUAGCAAGCAAAGCAAAGUGAAAGGAAAUUAAUAAUUUGUCACAGUAAUCAACACAACAUGUAUUAAAACAAUUUGUACAUGCAAUAAGCAUAGACUUAACCCACUAAGAUCAAUCAUAGCAACAAUAGUAAGAAGAUCAAAAGAAAUUUACUAGCAAUGCAUAAGCAUUUCAAUAAUGCAUCAUGUCAAUUAGCUAACGAUCCAUCUCCUUAUCAUAGCAACAUUUGAAAAGGAAAAGACAAAAAGAUGAUUUAUCAUGAAAGAUUAUCAACUAAAUUAAAAAAAAAACGUCUUAACUUUUCUUUGGGGUUAAAAGAAUACAAAAAAUAAUAUACUAUCAUGUAGAGCUCAUGAGGUUAAACAAGAAACAAUUGCUAUGAAUAAAUAUACUAAGUUCAUCUUAACAAAUACAAAUGGUUACGAUUGUAGAUAAAGGCCCUACAAAUUCACGGCAAUAACUGAUGUUUUGAUGUUUCAAGCCAAAAAAAAAAAUCAUGUGUAAGAUUUUGAACAAAUUAACUAGUAUCAUUAAUGGGUGUUCAAUUGCAAAGGGGUAAAGGAAGUGAUUUUCUCAUACAAGAUCGUACAAAUGGACAAAAUACUUUGAUUUACAAAUAGAUCAACUAAUACACUCAUAUAUAUAUAUAUAUUGCAAAGCAAAAAUAUAGUAAUAAAAAUAGAAAAAACGAACAAAAAAUCAAUAAGAACACACAGAGGGAGAAAGAAUACCUAGGGAGAGAAAAUGUGUUAGAAGACCCAAAAUGAGUGUAGAGAACCUAAAAACUCAAGAUUUUUUAGGAGUUUAGCUUAAAAAACAGUGAUUAUGUUGAGAUUUGGCCAAAUGUCAAGUUAAGAUUAUGUAAGGAAGUGUUCAU